rnacentral:lncRNA from 1 species
AAGAUUGCUUCAUUUAGGGACUGUUUGAUUGUAUAUAGUUACAACUCCAUUUCAAUUCUAACUGCAUGUAAAUAUAAAUUCGGUGUUUAAUUUGAUGUAUUUAACUCCAAUUCUUGCAGUAGGAAUUGCAGAAGUAGGCCCAAUCGUAGCAGUCGGAACUAUACCCAAAUUAGCCACAGUUUCAACUGUAGAAGUUGGAAAGAGUAACUUUAAACAAAAGAUAUGCUUUAUCUCCUUAAUUAUUUUUUAAGCACAAAAAUAUAUAUUUUUUUAUAUUGAGGGUGCGUUUGGUUCGAGUUAUCCUGAUAGGAUUACAGGCAAUCCUGUCAGGAUUACUGUGUUUGAUUCAUCCGCUAUGUAAUCUAGUCGUUAAUGCGGCAUCACAAAUCAAGCAGGAAUACAUCGGAAAUAUUAACGAGAGGGGGUCGUGUAUAUUACAUUAUUGACAACCGGUAAUACUACAUAUUAUGUAAAAUGACAAUUUUACCUUCUAACUCUCGAAACUCUUUUAAUACGGUAUUUUAAAAAUUUUAAUUUAAAAUUUUGAAUCGUCAACUUUCAAUUUUUAAUUUUUAAUUUUCAAAUUCAAAUUUUUAAAUUUUUAAAUUUUAAAAUUUUACACUUUAAAUUUAAAUUUUAAAUUAAAAUUAAAAUUUUAGAUUUUAAAUUAUAAGUUUUAAAUUUUAAAUUUUAAAUUUUAAAUUUCAAAUUUUAAAUUUCAAAUUUCAAAUUUCAAAUUUUAAAUUUUAAAUUUUAAAAUACAAAUUUGUAUUUUAAAUUCUGAAUUUUAAAUUUAGAUUUUAAUUUUUUAUUUUAUAUAUAUUUAUAUUUAAAUUUUAGAUUUUAAAUUUAAAAAUUUCAUAUUUAUAUUUUAAAUUAAAAUAUUAAAUUUAUAUUUUUGCUAAAAUUUACAAUUUAAAAUUUAAAAUUUAAAAUUCAAAAUUUAAAAAAUUAAAUUAUUUAAAAUAAAAUUUGGUAAAAGAAUAUUGUUUGUAAACAAUAAGAAAAAGUUUACGAAAUAUGACUAAAGACAAUUUUGGAAUAGGCUAUAUUUUAUUGUCUAGAUUACUAAAUUUUAUAAACAGAACCAAACAUAAUAACGCUAUGAGUACUGCAAUCCAGCAUUAUAUUACUGUAUUAAACCAAACACACUAAUGCAACAUCAGUAGUAAUCUCAUUUAGAAAUUCAAGAUAUCCGAAUAUAUCAAAAUACUUUGUAAUAUUACAUAAUUCGAACCAAACGUGGCCUGAAGGUAAUCUCACCAUCAUAUACAUUAAAAUGAUAAAAUUUUAAAAAAUUAUUUCUCAACUAUAUAUAACUAAACAAAUUAUUUAUAGUUGUAUCACCUUCUAUUACAUCCAAUCAAACAGAAUACAUAUAGUUACAACUGCUGCAUUUUCAAUUGCAUCUCCAACUACAUUAUAUUUGUAAUUACAUCAAACCGAACAACCUCUUAUUACUUUACAUAAGCAACCUUAAUUAACUUAAAUU